rnacentral:rRNA from 1 species
ACACGUCGGGGCCUGACGUUGUUCGGAAUCAUUGGGCGUAAAGGGCGCGCAGGCGGCCGUCCAAGUCCGGUGUUAAAUGGUCGGGCUCAACCCGAUCAUGCGCUGGAAACUGGGCGACUGGAGUCCCGGAGGGGAUGCCGGAAUUCCAGGGGUAGGGGUGAAAUCUGUAGAUCUCUGGAAGAACACCGAUGGCGAAGGCAGGCAUCUGGCCGGAGACUGACGCUGAGGCGCGAAGGCGCGGGGAGCGAACAGGUUUAGAUACCCUGGUAGUCCGCGCAGUAAACGAUGCGCACCAGGUGUCGGGCGGCAGCGCCCGGUACCGGAGCAAACGCGAUGAGUGCGCCGCCUGGGGAGUAUGCCCGCAAGGGUGAAACUUAAAGGAAUUGACGGGG